GUGGGCGUAGCUCAGCUGGUAGAGCCCUGGAUUGUGAUUCCAGUUGUCGUGGGUUCGAGCCCCAUCGUCCACCCCA
rnacentral:tRNA from 1 species